rnacentral:rRNA from 1 species
UCGGUAACGCGGGGGCAACCCUGGCGACGAGAGGCGGACGGGUGAGGAACGCUUGGGAAUCUGCCCUUCAGCGGGGGACAACCCGAGGAAACUCGGGCUAAUACCGUAUACGCUCCACGGAGGAAAGCCGGGGACCGCAAGGCCUGGCACUGAAGGAUGAGCCCAAGUCGGAUUAGCUAGUUGGCGGGGUAACGGCCCACCAAGGCGACGAUCCGUAGCUGGUCUGAGAGGACGAUCAGCCACACUGGGACUGAGACACGGCCCAGACUCCUACGGGAGGCAGCAGUGGGGAAUAUUGGACAAUGGGGGAAACCCUGAUCCAGCGACGCCGCGUGGGUGAAGAAGGCCUGCGGGUUGUAAAGCCCUUUCGGUAGGGACGAAAGCUCUCGACCUAACACGUCGGGAGGUUGACUUAACCUACAAAAGAAGCACCGGCUAACUCUGUGCCAGCAGCCGCGGUAAUACAGAGGGUGCGAGCGUUAAUCGGAAUUACUGGGCGUAAAGCGCACGUAGGCGGCUUGGUAUGUCGGGUGUGAAAUCCCCGGGCUCAACCUGGGAACUGCAUCCGAAACUGCCUUGCUCGAGUAUGGGAGAGGGAAGCGGAAUUUCCGGUGUAGCGG